CACCUCUUCCUAUGUGUCACUUCCUCCCUGGCCGCCGAGGAGGUAAAAUGGCGGCCGGCCUGAGCAGCCAAUGGGGCGGCAGGGGAGGGCUCUGAGUGCAUUGGUGGUGCCAGUACAGGAGCAUUGUGUCUGGGUCAAGUGUGAGCAGCGUUUAAAGGCUCCUGAAAACAAAGAGCUGAAGAGGACACCUCACACGUCUACAGUGCAGGUGGAUUUGGUGCCUCAGCAUCUUUUAUGGAGCUGAAAGUUCCCAUCUCAUCUUUGCGCUUUAGCUCAGCCUCUGGUGCGUGGUAUUCCCUUCCUGCAUGACUCCUGACAGCUUUGAGAUGUCUGCAGUUGAGAAGAUCGAGGAGCAGUUUGCCAGUCUGCGCAUAGCAAAGCGCUCCGUGUUAAGCGAGGAACCUGCUUACCUGCUGGAUGUAGAUGUCUCUGGACCUGCUCAGUCUGAAGGCAGCCGCUUUGUGGCAGUUUCGUGUUCCAAUAAAUCAAUUAGAGUCUAUAACAGAGAAACACUGAGCUUCCUGCAGGAGUACAGUAGCUGCCCUGGGACACUGAGUGGCGUCAGAUUUGCGCAUGCGUGUGACAGCUUGGUGUUUUCUGCAUGCAGUGAUGGCACGGUAAAAUGUUGGGAUGUUCGUUUAGCAGCUCAGAAAGCUGUGCAGGUAUUUAGCGGCUAUCCUUCCAACGUGUUCAUCAGUUUCGAUAUCAAUUGCAGUGAUCUCGUGAUCUGUGCUGGAACUGAAAAAGUAGAAACGGAUACAUUCCUGGUGUUUUGGGAUGCGAGAGGCAGCACAGACUGUGCCAGCACAACUAGGGAACCAUUGGGAGUGUACUCUGAAAGUCACAACGAUGAUGUCACUAAGAUUUGUUUUCAUCCUGUCAAACCCAGUUUGGUUGUUUCUGGGUCAACCGAUGGCUUGGUUAAUGUGUUUGACAUUAACAAGGAUAAUGAAGAUGAUGCUCUGAUAUCAACCUGUAAUUCAGAUUCAUCAGUAAGUUUUAUUGGCUGGUCUGGGAAAGGUUAUGAACAGAUCUACUGCACAACCCACGACGAGGGAUUUUGUUGGUGGGACCUUGCUCAGUUAGAUACCGAAGAACCAAUAAUGCUAUUGCGUGUUCUGGAUGCCAGAGACUCAGUCUGCAUUGAAAAUGGCAGCUUAAAUUACCUGGUGGGAGGCACGUACCAUGAAAAGGCAGACAGGCUCUUUCUGAUCGGAGGAACGGCAACAGGAGACAUUCACCUGUUAAGCUGCAGUGCUGCAGGGCUCAGCCUGGUGGGAACCCUUCCAGGGGGACACUCAGCCACUGUUCGCUCUUUCUGCUGGAACCCGGCGGAGGAGUCGCUGUUGACGGGAGGAGAGGAUGCCCAGCUGUUGUUAUGGAGGCCCGGAGCUGUGGAACACUCCCUGGCAAAGAAAAUGUCAAUGAAGGUUCCUUCUUCUGUGCAGAAGAGAGUGAGAGUUCACAACAGCUCCCUCAAAAGCAGGAAAAAAUAAAAUGCUGGGAAUGGGAACCUGCAAUAUAGAGUUCUCCAGCCUGAUUUAUCCUUCCAGGCAAUACUUGGCUGCUGCUUUCUUUGGAGGUGUCCUGUGGAAAGAGCUGCAAUACAUGAAUUCUGUUUGGGAACUUCCAUCAGUUGCUAAUAUUAAUCUGAACAGAGUAAAUGUAUUCCUCAUGAACCAGUGAGCAAAUAUCUGCCAUCAUUUUCUAUAAAGAUACUUUGUAUGGUUGUUUAAUGUCUCAGCCAUGGUUUUAAUGCAUCAUACAGGCCCGCGCCUUGCGUAAUUUGUUAGUUUCCCAGUGAAAUUCCCUGGCGUGUUUUAAAAGCUUUUGUAUUUCAAGCUGUGUUUUUCUUUCUUUACAGAGAACUUAAUGAAAUUGCUCAAUAUAUUAAAAGAUUUUAUGUCGCUUCUUAAUGCUUGAGGGAAUUACUUCAUAAUGAAACAGCAAAGAAGUGCUCUUUUUGCAUUGUCAUAUUGCUGGUUUAUAACGAGCUCGUAAAGCAGCACUUGAUGGAGUCAUGUUUUAUUAUAGCAAAGAUAUGAAUGUAUUCAACCAAAUGGGAACGCACUGCUCUGCACAGCUGGUUUUUUGACUGAGAGGUGUUAGAACUGUCUUCUGAGGACGUGGUUACUGAGUAACAGGCCAGUGUGAAAGGCUUGAAGAAAAUCUAUUCUGUGAAGUUUUGUGAAGUCUGUUAAGAGAAGCGCUGAUGUGCAGACAUCUCUCGAUGAUUGCUUUGUUUUACUGUUCCAUCAGACAGCGAUUAAGUGCUGCAAAAAUUGCCCCGUUCUGAAACGGUUGAAUUUUUAUGCUUACUCUGCUCCGCUGGCAGACUCCAAUCUGUGCAUCUGGCUCUGCACACGCAAUUACCUCCAGCCUUCGGAGUACCAUUGCAGUCAAAUAUCGGUUAAAUCCAGCACAUGCUGCUGCCCUCUGUGCCUGGGCUGCUCCCUCUGCCUGUCUUCAAAGAUGGAUCCCAUACCCAGUGGGGUGUUUCAGUCCCUGUAUGAUUUCCCCCUGCUUUGGGGGAGCAGCAGGAAUUAUUUGACCAAUCUAAAUAAAGCCGAUACAAGGUGAGGGCAGGUGAGCGGAGGUAGCAAUGCAUUGAUAUCUGUGUCUCUGGAGUGGGGUGAAUCCCAUCCCUUUUCUCUGUGAGCAUUCCUGCCCUGGUGCAGGCCCAGGGGCUGCUCCUUAUUACACUGAUGGAGACAGGCAGGUGGACCCCCCUCACACCCUUUGGUCAGGGCUGUCUGUGAGGCUCCUGGGCUCAGGAGUCAGACCCUUUGACGCAAAUGUAACAGCUUGCUUCUGCUUUUGAGCUCGAUGGAAGCAGGAUAGGGCCGUCACUAAAUUAUGCAAAAUAUAAACACCCUUCAAGCAUAAAAGCCAGUUCCUGUUUGUCUGUGGGAUGAACAAUUCAGCAGUGAAGCGUGCAGGAGAGGCAGGAGCUGUCUGCUCACAGGUUUUCUUCCUUAACUUGUGGCAGUGAGGAGAGACACGGGCUGAGCCACUACUGCAGCCUCUACUGUGCAGGCACCACUGGGUGUCCUGAGACAUGGAAAAAGGAGACAAUGAGUGUGGCGACAACCAGCUGGGAGGGACCUGUCAGUCUUAUGGAACCAUAGAAUGGGUUGGGUUGGAAUGGACCUUAAGGACAACCCAGUUCUUGUACCCUGCUGGGGAUGGGGCGCCUCCCAUCAGCUCAGGCUGUGCAGGGCUCCAUCUGUGGCCUUAUAUCAAUCUUACCCUCUCAUGUUUGGAAUCAAGAUUUGAUGCUGCUAAAAAAAUCCCCUAAGGGUGGUGUUGGAGCAGCCUUGUGCUAUAGGAACUCAGAACAGGUAGUGAGAAAUGCUCAGGUGGAAUUCAGGGUAGUUCUCUGUGCUGAUUUAAAUCAGUUGAGGAGGUGAAGUAUUUAUUAAAUGUCACAAGAAACAAACAAAAACCCCAACCACAAUUUCAGUCCAUCACCAGAGGACUGCUGCAUUGUGAGCAGUACACCUGGUGUGAUCAGUACUGAGAAGUACACCAAACUAAAGCUGAAGCACAAAUGCAGAACCACAGUUCAAUUUCCUUGAUGUUUUUAAUCCAGGAACUGUUAAUUAUCAGAGGAGCUGAGCUCUUAGGAGUGUGACGCAUGGUGGUGUUCGCUGUUUCAGAUUCAGAUUCAAACCACCUGAACACACACACAAGUAGCAGGUAAGAUGCCUGGAAGUGACCGUACCUUAACCAGUGUUCUCUAACAGCAAUUAGUGGGAUGGAGUUGAAGGAAGCCUCAGGGCUUCACUGUAACAACAAACUUGGUGAACUGUGUUGACUUGGGACUGAGAAAUGAGGGAUCAGGAGGAACAGUGGGAAGUAGAAAGUAUGGAGGUGAUAAAGGGACGCAGUAUGAGCACAAAUUUGUGCCCAUUUAUUUCCUAAGCUGUUGCAAUGUCCCAGGGCUGCAUUGAGAUGAGGUACAGUGUAAGUACCUGUGGUUCCUUGCAGGUGUGUGCAAUAUGCAAAGCUCACUUGCUGAUCACUGGCUUUAUUUCAGUGGCAGUCAGCAUGGGGAGGGUUAACUGCUGCUGCAAUACGAAGGGCAGUUUGACUGUUCUAUCCAGACUUUGCUUGAUGAAGCAGUUCAGAAAAGCUCUGUCGUAUUUUGUAUAGGAAAAAUCAAACGUUUUUCAGAUAUCUCUAUGGAGAAAUUUGGUAGAUUCAGACAUAAGUAAAGGUAUCUUGUGAGCUCCAGGUGUGAUUUUGCACCUAAGGCUCUGCUGAGCUAACAAAGGAAAUGAGCUUCCUUUUGUUUGCAAAAUAUAACCCCCCCCCCCGAAGUUCUUAACGCCUUUUCCACGCUGCCUGGACAGCUGAGCCACCACGCAGCUGUUCCUUGUCCUCUGCCUGUUCCUGAUACCUCCAACAAAACCUCAGAGAAGAAAGCUGACAGCGUUACCUAAUGUGGGUACAAACCAGAACGUUCAGUUGGUCCAUCCAAAGUAUGGGGGGGAUGAAGAAGAAUCACGUAGGUGACAUAUAACGGAGAACAGGGAGAACCAUUAUUGGUGUUUGGUUUCCAACUCAUGGCACAAGAGCUGCUCAGCACCAAAGGAACAUGAAACACACAGUUUUAAACUUGCAUUGUUAAUCACCUGCUGCAGGGACGUUAUUGAGUGCUCUAAAAGCAGGGCUGUGCUCUGAUGACAUCUUGGGCCACGUGUUCUCCAUGUAGAGCACUGUGUGUGCCUAAGAAACGUGCCAAGGGUCCACGUGUGUGUGUGCACACAUGGGAAGGAUGCUCCGAGCACUCGGUGUAAUGGAACAGGUGUGGGAGCCUGGGAUUUGCUUAUGGAGGCGAUCAGUCAGCGAUCAGAAAUGUUUGAACGUGGUUGAUAUUAAAGCAACUAUGAAAGUGGAAUAUUCUAAAUAUACACUUGGAAUAAUAAACCAUUGGUAACGUUCUGGAAGGAAAUGGUGUUCUGACAUUGAACGCUUAUUUUUUCCCAGAUUUUAGACAGGAUUUGAGGUUUUUUUCCAUUAUCUCCAGUAUGACUAAAAAUAACCCCCCUCCCUUUUCAAGGUAUGCUACAGAGUUGCUUAAAAUUAAAACUUCAGGCCCUUAGAACUCAAAUUAGGUGUGUGACAAAUGCAGCAUUUAGUAUGUAUGUGUUCUCCUUUUGCCAAGAUGGUUUCAUUACUGUGCAUUUCAUGAGCAGAACGUUCUUGAGAACCAUUAUGAAUAGAAUCCCAGCUUAUAGGGAGCGAUAUGAAAUGGCAUUUAUCUUUACUUUCCCCCAGGAACUCUUCCCUGUGUCAGUAGUGCUGCUAGCUGCCUUCAGAGCCAUGUUCCUACGUGCUCACCUUGCACUGUGGGUUGGGUUGGAUGCAAGUGGGAGAAACCUCUUCAGAGACAGGGGCUCCAGGCUGUGACCCAAGUAGCCCCAAGGCAAAGUUACAUGAAGGCUCCUUGCUGGGGGUGAAGCUGAAGCAAUCCUGAUGGGUUUUUAUUUGUAGCUUGUUGUUGAAGAGCCAAAGAGUGGAAGGUGAAUAGCAAGUUCCUGCUCAUCUUCAUUAGAUGGGAGCUGGACUUGAUGACCUUUAAAGGUCCCUUCCAACUCAAAUACUGUUCUAUGGAGCCUGAGGAAUGGAAUGGAUGCAGAAGAGGAGGCUGAAGUCAGAGCUGAUGGGGUGUGUAAAGGCUGUUGCCUUCUGACCACUGCUGAACUCUAUUUGCUUGCUGUGUUUCUGAGUGUUUUAUGAACAGCAGUGGCUCUUAUUGCCACGCACAGUUGGGUUAACAACAUGAGAUGUGUGAAGGCUGUGCUGGAGUGCUGCUGUGAUUUGGUAAGGAACAGAGAUGGCAGAACAAGUGCUUCAUUUCACUGAAGUCUGACAAACCCAUGGUGCUUUCCUGCCAGCUCUGUUUGGUUACUGGCAGAUUACUGCUGUUGUAUUUAAUGCACUAAAGCCGCUGACAGUGCCCUUAAAAUCUUCCUUAGAAACCAGGGCAGGUCUUAAGUAGCUGCAGUCAUUCAAUGUCUUUACUAUGGGGAGGCUGAAGAUGUUUCUCAGUGCACACUGCCAGCUGUACCGGUGCUGCAUGGGGUGGCUGCGCUGCUGGGGGAACCCUUGCAAAGGAAGUGGUGCUGGUGCUGUUAACUGCUUCCCUUUUACCAUGAACCCACUGUUAAGUAAGUGUGCUUUGUGAAGGGGACACUUAGGAAGUAGCCAUGUAAAAGAGAACGACCUAAUGCACUUUUCAUCUAGGACUGAUGAUUUCUGAAUGUCCCCCUGUCUCUGGUUAACUCAGCCUGAUACACGUCUCAAUUCAGCACUGCCUAAACACUUGGAGUACACAUUUGUAUGCUGAUGUUUUCCCCAGUGUUUCCAAGGCACUGGAAUAAGACUGGACUUUGUUAUUUUUUGAGAAAUGAGUUGUAUCCCUUACCAGACUAAAUGAUACAACAGUUUUCUGUCCUUUUUCCUCUACCAUUUGGGCUGCACCCCAUCCCCAAUAUUACCUGGAAUAAAUCCAAGUGUUAGUUGCCUUGCAACAUGACUACUUACUUUGGUGUGCUGGUAGGCUCAGCAUCGUGCAUUAAUCUAGUCCAAGUCUGACUCCAGCCUGUAGAACUUUCUCUAGCAGCUGCUUUCAGAGGGAACGAGUGUGACAUGAAACGAUGUUAAAGGAACUUUCCCAAAGUGACAAAGGACUUUUGUAGAAUUGGGAACAGAAACGCUUCAUGCUGGUUUUGGUCUGUGCUGGGCACUCUUGGGAUUGCUCCUCUUUGCUGCCAGCCAACUGGAUGUGGGGAAAUCACUGUUGUUCUCUUAUGGUGUUCUUGGAGUUCCUGAAUUUGGCUGCUCCCGAUGACCAGACAUGUCAAUUAGAACGUCUGUCUCCGUUCCAGAAGCAAAAAGGUAAAAUGCUUCUGACUAUUUCAGAACCAAGAACUUGUGCUUUUAUUUCCUCAGUCUCAGUUUCCAGGUAGGAUCUGCUAUGGCUGUUAAAGGGGCUGUUAAUGUAUUGUAAUCUGCAGCCUGAAUUACCAAAGCCUAAUCUAGAAAGCCAUUUGAAGGCAACUUCAGCUAGGAUGAAGUGUAGCUGGUUUGGGAUGUUGGCAGAAAGUUGCUCUGAAAUCAACCUUGAGUGACUAAACUGUGAUUAAUAGAUAAUAGCUUUCACAAUAGCUCUUGAUCGCAUUACUGAGCUUGAUUACUGUUUAUGUACUAAUAUUCUUAAAGGGCCUUGGGGCAUUUAUUUUAUUUUGUUCCAUCUUUUGUUUGCCAAAAUAAGUAAAAUAUCUGCCAAAAUGAGCCUUCUUGAGCUUCUAAGCUGUGGACAAACGUAGGUCCAGCUUGUCCAACCCCUUUCUCCAGCAGCGAGACCCGGAGCAGGCCAGGCCCAUGUCUGGGUGGCUUUAGGUCUCCAAGGAGGAGACUCCAGAACCUCUCUGGGCAGCCUGUGUCAGUCCUCCAACAGCUGCACAGAGAGAGUUUUCUCUUUGUGUUGCAAUGGAAGCUUUGCUUUCAGAGCUGAGAUUCUGGAGCGGGCAGAUGGCAAGUUCUAGCACCCACCGAAUGGUACAGUUGAUAGCAGUUGGCACGUUCGAUAGCUCCUGUGUGUAUGGGAAGGCUUCAGGAAAAUAAGCUCAUAAAGAGCAUGGAAGGACUGCAACCAUCUCUGGUCCAUCAGAGUCCCAUCUGUCUGUAAGACAUUACAUCUGAAUAUACACCAAUAGACUCAGGAUGGCCAACUGCUGAGAGCUGCUCAUUUACUGCAGCAUUGAGGUUCAACCCUGAUAAAUUCUCUGUUUUCUUCUCAACAUUAUUUCACUGAAAAAUAUCAGGAGAACUGGUUUGUUAGUUCUGUGGAUAGGAGUACUGACUUUCAUGGCAUUCUACUCCCUUUUCUUUCUCCCUACUGAAAAACAAAAUCACUCAUUAAUUCAGCUUAAUAAUUCUAUUAAAGGCAUCAUGCCCUCUGUAUUACCAUAAAUUAUCAGCUUUCCUUAAUUUGAAAUACUAACUCUGAACUUCAAAUUCAAACGCCUAUAGAAUGAAACCAGCUCCCUUAACAUGUAAAUGCUGGCCUGAGCUUUCCAAGCUUGGCUCUGAAAUGAAUCACAGAAUCACAGGGGUUAGAAGGGACCUCCAGAGAUCAUCGAGUCCAACCCCCAAUCGAGUCCCAAUCUUGCUGCAGGAGGGGAAAGAAGAUACGCUGCUAAGACAUCAUUACUGCCUCCUGCUGAAGUUCACUGCCAUGCUGGGAGGGAGUCAACGCUCACCAGGUUCGAUGAAGAACCAAAGGAAAGGCAGUGUCCUAAGUUGGGCUUUCAGAAGACAUCAGUCUGUACUCUUAGUGUAUUUUCCGUUUGUUUAACAGGGAGGUUUUAUUUUCUUGUCCAUUUUCAGGCAAAGCCUGCAGAGCUGCAGCAGGCCUCGUGCACCCCGACACAUGGAAGUGAAGGAAAAACUUGCAGAGGCAUAAAGGAAAGUUUUUUCCUCCUUAGAAGCUCGAUGACUGGUGCUUAAAUAUGUGCAAGGUUUUUAAAUUGCAGUUGUAACCAGGAUGAGAGCAGCAGGAACUGAGAUAUAUUUAAAUGCAUGCUUAUGUAUUUCAUACUAUAAUUAAGAGGUGUUAAAGAACAACAAAGUUAUGGGAGAAAAUGAUAGAGGGUAAGAAAGGAAAUAAGCAAUUCAUGGGAACAAAAGAACUAUAGGAUGAGAGAAACUUGCCUGUUAAAUUAUAUACCAUGCACUGCAGACAUUGAGUGCUUUGUUUUUUCAGGCUGAAACGUGUGUUUCAGGAUGGCACUUCUCCCAUUUCCUCCUAAGUUCCAAAGAAGCAGUUCUGGUUAAGCUAAAAAAAACCCCAACAACAGAGAAAUGGAUAAUCGUUCCAGAAGGGAGGUAUCACUCACUUACUGGGAAGGACUGAGAAUUCUGCUUGCAGCUCUUCAACUAUUGGCCCUGGUUCCUCUCUGUUUAUAUUUUGAAUUAGCAAGUCACAUACUGAACUCCGCCAAGUGACAGAAGGGGAAAUUUCUGUGUGUGGAGCACAGUCAUGCUCCCACAGGGAAUUGGCUUCCUUGGUGUAUCAGUGUUUUCAGGCACUGAUGACCCUGAGUGAGAAAUGGAAAGAAUAAGGAUGAGCCAGAUUUUGAGACAGGCAUGCACAAUUAAACACGUUUGAAUCUGCCUUAUUUACACUCGUGAGGAGCUGUUUGUAUGUCUCUCCUGACAACUCUGAGCCUAUGUAACCUUCUUUAAUAGCCACAUGGGUUGCUAUCCUCUUGGGCUUGAUUAGCUUGACCUUGCUUUCAUCCUUUGUAGCAGCAGCAUAGCCUGACCGGCUAGAACAGAUUUCAGCAUAGUGUAAAGCGUGCACAGUACUUAGAAAUUAACUGGGGAGAGAAAAGGAGCUGGAUGUAGGUGAUAUAUAGAUUGUAGGAUCUGUGUAUGAAUAUGGAGUAAAAGGGUGAGAGGUUGUGUGUGUUUAUAUGGGCUUCUCACAGCAUGUGUACGAAGCUCUGGUUAUAAUGAGCAUUUUCAUACAAAGUUUCUCUCUCACUUGAAAUUUGUAAGGCUCUAAAUGGCCUUUUCCUCCUCAAUGUAACAAAUAUCUGUAGAAAUCAUGUAUUAUCUACUGGCUUGGGUCACACUUGAAUGCAGGUUUCUAUGUAAGGAAUAACAGAUUUUGAUGCCUCGUGACCUCUGGUAACAUUACUGAUGUAUUUACCCAAGCACACUUGUGCAUAAACCAUCAUUUAUUGAAAAGGCAGAAGAGUGAAUCAACUUUUAUCGUUCAUCUGAUCUCAGUCCCCAUCUUUCCGAGGGCAGGAUGUGUGUGUAGGUAAAGCAAAUGGAAUCUCUGCUAUAUGUACUGGGAAAUGCUGAUAGGCUGCUUUUUUUGUGUAGCGUUGAUUUUUCUGAGCAGAACUUCUUGUCAAACAAAGCAAAACGAAAAGCCAACACAUCCCUUUCAAGAAACCCUUUGUCUGUGUACACCAGUCAAUGACACUUAGUCCCAUUAAUGGGAAAAUGGAUAUUAACCACCCAGGGAUCCUCUCUUCCAGGAAACAUUGCAAGGCUGACUGAAGAGUCUCAGCUUAAACCAGUCUGACAUGUUGAUCAACAGAAAAACUGCUCCAAGAGGAUGUUACCACUAUUGGGAGUUAUAUCAGAAGUGCCAUCGCCACGACCAGAAUUCUGGUGAGAAACCUUUCAUGUCUCUGGUUUCACAGUUCUUGCCUUUGGGGUCACUGAGAAGCGAUCAGACAGUGAGCUGAAGGACAGGUUGGCUAAGCAUGAAGUGAUACAAUGCAAACGACAGUGUAUUUGGAGGAAAAGUGUAAAGACCUUAAUUCUCCAGAGUUAAGCCUGCCAUAAACAUACCUAAACAAAUGGCAUAAUUUUAGGGCCUACAGACACUACAUAACAGUUGUGUAGCUCACCGAAAAUCUUCCAGGCAAUAAUAGAAAUAGUCUGUAAGGUCCAGAAGAGCACACCCCCUUUGCGCAUGCAGGGUAAAGUCUCAAGCUGGCACUGCUGCUAAUUCACACAGGCACUGAAGUGCCCUUGAUUCCUGGAUGGGGGUAAGAACAGAUAACAUCAGUGUAGCGCUGCUGCAAGAUCAGGCUAAGCCACACGCCUGUGGCAUAUGUCUGCUGAGCGUUAGGUAAGGGAGCAAAAAUGCACGGUAUCUCCCAUAGAUUCUGACAGUAUCCUGAGCAGGGACUGGCUCUGAGCAUUAAGGUGAAAUCCAGUCAUUCUAAGAAUAUCCUCUAUCUCCAAAAAACACUUACUCUCUGGGGAAAA